AUGCUACCUCCCCGGCGAAGACGUCGGGGUAGGCGCAGUGGUCGGCUGGUUAAACUCAAGAUCUCUUUAGCGCACCAUCCCACUACCGUCAAAGGAAUACAGAGAUUAUUUCCUGGAGCUUUUGUGCACCGACGUUUCCUGGACCCCGUGGAUUCCUGCCUCAUCCCCGUGGUCUGCCAGGAUGACGCGCCGCUCCUCCGUGACCCCUGUCCUCCUCGGCUCAACGUGCGCCGGGCGAACCUCCGCAAUCUGAGGCCGCUGUGUCGGACUCCCUGUGCCACUGGGGCUUUUACCUCAUCCCCGGCUCCUGUCAGGAUUGGGCUGGUAAAUGCCAGAUCGCUGGUGAACAAAUCUUUUAUUCUGAAUGAGUCAUUCAUCUCCUGGAAACUGGACUUCAUGUGUGUCACGGAGACUUGGCUUAAUACUGGUGAGUCCAGUACUUUAUCUGAACUUUUACCAGCGGGUUGUUCCUAUUUUAACACACCAAGGACAUCAGGGAGAGGAGGAGGUACGGCGGUUGUUUUUAAAAAGGAUUUUAAAUGUAAACAGUGUGUUUUACAGCCCUCGUUUUACAGCUUUGAGCUCACGUGUUUUGAAGUUAAUCGCUCUAACUCUGUGCUCUUUGCUGUUAUUUAUCGUCCCCCUAAAUACAAUAAGAAUGUCAUAAAUGACUUUUCAGAAUUUCUAGCUGGGAUUAUGCCCAACUACGAUCAUGUUCUUAUUGUGGGAGAUUUUAAUAUCCAUGUCUGUUGCCCUGAUAAACCUCUGGUGAAGGAGUUUUUAAGCCUCAUUGACUCUUUUAAUCUGGUCCAGUCUGUACCUGGUCCCACACAUGAACACGGACACACACUAGACCUGGUAUUGUCACACAGUCUACCUGUGUCUAACGUGGAAGUGACUGACACUGCUUUCUCUGACCAUAUGGCUGUAUUAUUUGAUGCUGUGUUUUCACGCACUACAGUUCAAACCAGCGCUCCUGUUCGCCGCUGUCGGAUUAUUAACCCUUCCACUGCUGCCCAGUUCGCAACUGCUUUUAACCAGCUGUCUAUCCCCGCCGAUCGUACUCCCUUGGACACAGAGAACAUCAGCUCCUGGUUUCAAUAUUCUUGCCUUACUAUUCUGGACUCUGUGGGACCAUUAAAAACCAGGAAGCCCAAGGCUAAAACUGACCCUUGGUUUAAUGACGCCACUCGGGCUGUGAAGAGGGAGUGUCGUAGAGCUGAAAGCAGAUGGAAGAGGGACAAACUGCAGGUGUCUCUUCAAAUCCUAAAGGACUGCUGGCGCCUCUAUCAGGAUACAGUCAAAGAGGCUAAAAGAAAAUAUUUCUCUAAGAUCAUUUCCUCCAACAGUCACAAUCCACGUGUGUUAUUUAAAUCUAUUGACUCAGUCUUAAAUGCUCCACAAAGCGGCUGUUUGGAGGCCUCUCAUAAACUGUCUAAUGAUUUUAUGUGUUUUUUCAUUAAGAAGGUUGCAACCACGCAGGCUCUCAUUUCUUCCCCUGAGUCUGACCCCUCUGUCUUGAUCCCUUGCUCUGCUGUUUUUAACCAGUUUGAGCCUGUGUCCCUUUCUUAUUUAGAGGAUGUGGUUGGCCACCUGAGGCCCUCUGGUUCCCCAAAUGAUCCUGUCCCACCACAGUUUUUUAAGGAUAUUUUUCCUAGCAUAGACCAGGCUGUUCUUACUGUUAUAAACAGCAGUUUAAUAUCUGGUGUAGUCCCUGCUAAUUUUAAGCAUGCGGUAGUACAACCCUUGCUUAAGAAACCUGCCCGGGACCACACUGUAUUGGCUAACUACAGACCUAUCUCCAAGUUGUCCUUUAUGUCUAAAAUCUUAGAGAAAAUUGUACAUUGCCAAUUGAUGGAUUUUUAA
ensembl:lncRNA